AUCUUUAACAGGCUGGAUUUCAUGACGAUAUAUGAUCUACUGAAACGUGAAUGUUGCUGGUUGAAAACUUAACCCAAUACCCCGCCGAGAUGACUUGAAAUAUAGUCAGCUGUGGCAAUUUUUGUUCGUCUCUAAGGAGA